rnacentral:rRNA from 1 species
AUUGAACGCUGGCGGCAUGCCUUACACAUGCAAGUCGAACGGCAGCGGGGACUUCGGUCCGCCGGCGAGUGGCGAACGGGUGAGUAAAGUAUCGGAACGUACCUUUCAGUGGGGGAUAACGUAGCGAAAGUUACGCUAAUACCGCAUAUUCUGUGAGCAGGAAAGCAGGGGAUCGCAAGACCUUGCGCUGAUUGAGCGGCUGAUAUCAGAUUAGCUAGUUGGUGAGGUAAAGGCUCACCAAGGCGACGAUCUGUAGCGGGUCUGAGAGGCUGAGCGGCCACACUGGAACUGGGACACGGUCCAGACUCCUACGGGAGGCAGCAGUGGGGAAUUUUGGACAAUGGGGGCAACCCUGAUCCAGCCAUUCCGCGUGAGUGAAGAAGGCCUUCGGGUUGUAAAGCUCUUUCGGCAGGAACGAAACGGUCUGCUCUAACAUAGCGGAGUACUGACGGUACCUGAAGAAGAAGCACCGGCUAACUACGUGCCAGCAGCCGCCGUAACAC